UACGUAGGGUGCGAGCGUUGUCCGGAAUUAUUGGGCGUAAAGAGCUCGUAGGCGGUCUGUCGCGUCGGCUGUGAAAACCCGUGGCUCAACCCCGGGCCUGCAGUCGAUACGGGCAGACUAGAGUGCGGUAGGGGAGACUGGAAUUCCUGGUGUAGCGGUGAAAUGCGCAGAUAUCAGGAGGAACACCGGUGGCGAAGGCGGGUCUCUGGGCCGAUACUGACGCUGAGGAGCGAAAGCGUGGGGAGCGAACAGG
rnacentral:rRNA from 1 species